GUAAUUAAUUAAGUUGACUUGACUUGGCGUUACAUUCGUUGCCGUCCUCCUUCUGGCACAAACAUGUGAGGCGCUAUCACGCACGAGUACUGCACAUCCAUCUCCUUCACGCACACCGGAGAGGAGAGCCUUCCCUACGUCCUCUUCCUGUGGCCUCGAGCAUGACGUUGGGCUAACGAACAAGUGUGUUUGGGAGAGAUGACGGACGAGGCCCACUGUUUGAACUCGCACAUGCCGUUGCCUGCCGGUACGAGGAGCAGUUGGAGACGUUUCACGCUACUCACCGAUCUCCGCGUCUUGACGCUUCAAGCCACGACUCAGGUGUCGGCAUGCCCGCAAGACGAAGAUGCUAGUCGCGCCGCUUCUGGAGUCGUGAGUUGAUUGGUGCAUGCAAGGCGGUUGCCCUCGUCGUCGUUGGUGCGAGCGGCGCUUCCCACACAAAGGAUCUCAGCAACGACCCCACAUGUCGUGGCAUGCGCGAGAAUUGUUGUGUUGGGAGGACCAAAACGGGCAUCUUUUCGGACGGAGGAAUCUUCCACGUGGAGUGGGAUGAUUGGCUGAGCCCCACCCCCAAUUGGUGAAAAGGAAGCUCGCAGUGGGAGGAGGAACCUUCUGCGGUCGUCAUCUUUUAUGCCUUCUUCGGGUAUUAGAGGUGGGGAAGAGAGAGAGAUGAACUGUGUUUGGCUUCGGGUGGUGGCAGACAUGAAGAGAUCUAAUCAACUCCUCCUCCUCUUCUUCUUCCUCCUCCUCCUACGUAUGGUGCACUCACUCGACACCAGGGGAUUAGCACGCAUGCAGGAAGCAGCUGCAGCGACCAACACAACAGUAGCAGCAGUAGAAAAAGUGACAGGUGGCGCGUCAUCCGGCGGCCGAGGCGGAGGGCACGGCAGUUCGACGGGCGGCACCGACGGUGGGAACACGGACAGCAGCACCAGUUCUGGUUCGGGCUAUGGAUCAGCGACUCCGAAUCUUCAAGGCGCGGCAGAUCACCCGAGGAACGAUAAACCCCGCAACAGAAACGAUGCGAGCAGCUACCGCUUACCACUCCCCGUCAUCCUCACAGCUGUUGCGUUCUCGCUGUUGCUGCUCUUACAUGAUAUAUAUUAUUAGUAGCCGCCUCUCACAAUGUAUCUCGAUCGAGAGUGGCUGGUGAAGAGGAGUGUUAUCCGAGUGGUGUUUGAUCGUUUGUAUGAAUAGUAUUUGAAUUAACAUAUAUUCCACUCGUCCUUCUCAA